GACGAACGCUGGCGGCGUGCCUAAUACAUGCAAGUCGAACGCAGUGGGGACGGGUGCGUAACACGUGGGUAACCUCCCAUCAGAGGGGAUAACACUUGGAAACAGGUGCUAAACCGAUACUGAUGGAUGAACCCGCGGUGCAUGAGCUAGUGGGUGGGGUAACGGCUCACCAAGGCCACGAUGCAUAGAGGACCUGGGAGGGUGAUCGGCACCACUGGAACUGAGACACGGUCCAGACUCCUACGGGAGUCAGAAGUGGGGAAUCUUGGGCAAUGGACGAAAGUCUGACGCAGACACGCCGCGGGGGUGAAGAAGGUUUUCGGAUGGUAAAACUCUGUUGUUAGGGAGGCGGUAUCUAACCAGAAAGCCACGGCUAACUACGUGCCAGCAGCCGCGGUAAUAC
rnacentral:rRNA from 1 species